rnacentral:sRNA from 1 species
CAAAACCUUCUGGCUCUUCUACCUCAGCCCCGGCCCCUCCCUCAGCUCAGUGAAACAGUCUCUGCCUAGGUUUAUUGGUGCGUUAAGUGUUCAGUGCCACUGUUGGGGUUAGGCCUUCGAGGAUGAAGCCUGAUACCAGCUCCUCUGGCGCAGACUAAAGUGGGCAGCUGGCUUUUAACCCGUUUGCCUGUGUUUUGGCGUAGACUGCACCACCCCAAACGGUGGAAUGAGGCCCCCCAUGUGCUGAGCUGUCUUAGUCUGAAGAGGCCUGUAGUUACUUUCCACUUCACAGGAAAAUGCAACAGGCUCCUGCCUGUUCUGGUUAUAAGGUUACUGCACCUCACGCAGAUCCCAAAUGUAAUGAUUUGAAACAUGUGGUUAACUUCCAGACCAAAUACACGCUGAUCGAUGAGCAGGACAUCCCGCUGGUGGAGAGCUACUCCUUUGAGGCCCGAAUGGAAGUGGAUGCCGAUGGAAAUGGUGCUAAGAUAUUUGCCUAUGCCUUUGACAAGAACCGAGGAAGGGGCUCGGGGAGACUCCUUCAUGAGCUACUGUGGUGAGUGUUUCCAAGCUGUCUCUGCCCCCCGCCACUGGGCUCCUGGGUGAGCUCCGAUGGCACAGGGCACCUGGAGCCCCCUGCCCGGCUGAAGCCCUGCCAUGCCUUCCCUGAAUCUCACAGUUAUUUUUGUGUCCUUCACCACUAACCCAAAGGAAUGAAUGAUUUGUAUAUUACACUUCAAACACCAAGUGGACUUUCUGCUGGGAGCUUGCCCAGGACUGGCAGCCUCUGGAGGGACGGUGGUUGCUCCCCUUGCUGAGUUUCGCCCAGCCCCCCGGUGUGCAUGGUAGGGACCACCCGGAUGGGGAGCUGUCUCGAGGCCAUCUGCUCAGGUGGUUUUGCGUUCUAGCUUUGGCUGUCUGUGCUCCGAAGUCCAGGGGCCGGGUCUUCGCUGUGUCCCUGUCCUGUUUGGGCCACAGAUCAGGUGCUUGGGUUUCUCUCAGCAGCUUCUGCCUGAGGUACCCUCAUCCAAAGGACCAGGGGCCUGAUCAGAUCACAUGGCUGACAUUUCUUCCUGGAAGGACUUUGGUGCCUGACCAGAAAUAUCUGCGAGGGUGGGAGGCAGCGAUGCAGGGUUUGCUGUCUGUUUCUAGGGAGCGGCACCGGGGGGGCGUGGCCCCGGGCUUCCAGGUGGUGCACCUCAACGCUGUGACCGUGGACAAUCGCCUGGACAACCUGCAACUGGUGC